UGCUUUACACAUGCAAGUCGAGCGCCCCGCAAGGGGAGCGGCAGACGGGAGAGUAACACGUGGGAACGUACCCUUCAGUUCGGAACAACCCAGGGAAACUUGGGCUAAUACCGAAUACGUCCGUAAGGAGAAAGAUUUAUCGCUGAAGGAUCGGCCCGCGUCUGAUUAGCUAGUUGGUGGGGUAAUGGCCCACCAAGGCGACGAUCAGUAGCUGGUCUGAGAGGAUGAUCAGCCUCACUGGGACUGAGACACGGCCCAGACUCCUACGGGAGGCAGCAGUGGGGAAUAUUGGACAAUGGGCGCAAGCCUGAUCCAGCCAUGCCGCGUGGGUGUGAAGGCCCUAGGGUUGUAAAGCCC
rnacentral:rRNA from 1 species